rnacentral:lncRNA from 1 species
UAUAGCUUCUGACCAGCAGAGGGUCAGAGCCCAGCUCAUGUACUCAAAGCUUGAGGAGCUCUGGGCCUGCAGGGUUCUAGAUGCCAGCACAAUGUCCCACCUGAGGAAGCUGUAAACCAAGGCUGGAGGAAAAGGUGGAAAUUGGCUUCCGAUGUCUGAUGGAGUAAGACCUGUCACAUGUGGCUUCAGUGGACUCCCAAUAACAACAUAAAGAAGAAAGGAAUUGAAAGAUGCAAAAUGACAGCUUCUUUUUUUUUUUUUAAGUAAGGCAGCUCAAAUGCACCUUUUCCCCACUAGUAUGAGAGAAAAUAUAUUCUGUGCAGAGAAAGGGGUCAGUAAUUCUAUGUGUAUAAUUAUGUGAAACCUUAGAAUAUUGUCUGAAAGAGAGGAUGAUAUGGAUGGUCAGAUUUAGAUUAGUUUUCACAGUUUGUGUUCCUUCUUGUUUAAAUACCUUCCCCAGAAAAAUCAAAUUACAUCAGAGUCUCAUAAUGCAGAAUGAGAAACUUCUUGCUGUGUUAAUCCAUUUGGUAAUCGAUAUUAUUUAUUGAGCUGACACCCGAUGACCAAGGAGAAUACACAAAUAAAGGUACAAGGCAAAGGAGAAAAAUUACUUUCGGCUUCCAUAUUCUUAAUUGUUUUUCUUAAUUUAAUAAUAUCUCUGGUCAUUAACUUAUUUGUAGUCAUUCAGACAGAAAUCAAACAAGAAGCCCUCACCUAAGAGGGUAAAGAAAGUUUACAUGGAGGCCUGCAUCCACUUCUCUCAAAUUUUGUGGUCAUCAGGACAUGAAUGGCAGGUGUCUGUCUCUUACAGUUGGAGUAUUAUAAUGCAGUCUCAGAACUAGUGUUCUCCUAAGAGCUAGUGUUUCUCUGGAAGAUGGUUUCACUUGAGCAUAGCACAAUAAUAGGAUCAAAGUUAGUAAAGAAAUCCCCAAAUAUUACCAGACAUUUCUUCAGAGUUACCGCUUAUGUUUACUUUCUGAAUAGAAAUAGUCGAGAUGUUCAUACACAGUGGCUGUUUAUGAAUGCUGAGAAGGUGGUUUCUUUAAGAACACAUCUGUUUGGAGAGGAUUGCUCUUUUAUAAGGGUGCUAUCUUCUGGCCCCUGAGGAUAUUGCAUGAACAUACAGCCUGCCUACAUAUAAAUAAUUAAAGGUAAGAAUAAGUCUUUAAAAUAUAAAAAAGAAGAGCAUCAGAAGUCAUAUAAUGGUCCUUUAGUAUCACCAGUUAGGAUUCUUAUGCCUAGAAAUUCCACAGAACAAUUUAAUUUUGAUUGUGCAACUAUGGAGCUAAAAAAAAAAAAAAAGCCUGAUGCAUGUCAUUCCAAACGCCAAUUCCUCUGCUCUUGCCACACAUUUUCAUUCUAUAAGUUUCCUCUGUACUCCAUCUUCAACUUGAAGGUUCAGUAUCUAAGCAGUGACAAAGAGUGACACCCCCCCAUUUUUGUUUCAUCUACCAGGCAAUUUUCUAAUAUACUGGGUUCUGUUUUCACACUCAGUUAUAGAUUCUUGCUUUAUCUAACAUAACUGUCAUUUUCACUUGUAAUUUCUAUAGGUAGUUGACCAGUGUAAUUUGAAUCAGAGAUAUAAAGGAUAGUAUAUAACCAUCUGUCCUUCAAUGAUGCAAUAAUUAGCAUGCUUAAAAUAUUUUAAAUACAUAUUUGAUAGAUUAAAAUGAAGGACUGGGGUAGAGAAAAAAAUUCUUCUAAUGAGGAGACACUUAGGGUGUUGAAUGAGAUGUUCUACAUAUGAAUGCCACUCAGAAUUUUGUCCAUAGUAAGAUGGGAUGGGGAAAUAGCGAUCCAGAAUUCAUGGUAGUUAGAGAUUAGUAGGCAAAUAAUGGAAACGAGAAGAGAUGUGUUCUAUAGCUAGAUGGUGGGCAUAUGAAAGCAGCAGGAAGUGAGAGCCAGGGACCAUCAACCCAAGGAUAACCUGAAGACAAUGACCAUCAUUUAGAGUAAAUGAGUCUCCAGUGCCCCUGUAGCCAGUGUACGAAGGUAGAAGCUGUGUUCUAAAAGAAAGUUUAAUAUAUAGUGAAAUUUGUGAGCCACGAAAGAAGAGAGAAAGUCGGAGUAAAAUGAUUUGUUAAUCAUGUAAAGGGAAAGAAGAGAGAGCCAAGGGUUAAUAGAAGGCAAGCAGGCAAUGAAGAAAUAACAGUGUGGGAACUUCAUCGUGGCAGAAAAUAAAUAGUAAUUUAUGAUGUAGGAACCAGACUUGUGGCACCGAAACUCAGUAGAGGUUGGGAUUGGGCCAGUGACUCAUGAACCACAAGAUCCUUUGAGGGUCCAUGUUGGAGACAGGACAUGGCUAUGAAUAAGGUAAAGAGUUAGAAAACCCCACACGGCUCAUCUGGGGGAGACUCUGCUUAGGCUCUUUCAGCAGAUGUACAUUACUAAUUUAUGAAAUUCUAAUGUAUUUCUAAAAUAUCUAAGUCUACAAAUGUUUGCACCAAGAAACUCAUAUAAAGGUAUAAUUGCUGGCCCAUUAUGAAUCAGGUGGCUAUUUUCUCCCAUAGUGGCUUUAUGACAAAGUUCUCUAAUAAUAUCUAAAAUGUCUUCUUUAGCAUUUGGACUAUAGCAUAGCAUAAUUACCACAAACUGCAGAUUUUGAUCCACAGCUUUAUUUAUUUGUUUGUUUAAAUCCUUAGAAGCAUUAGUUUACUUGUUUUGUGUGUGUCUGAGAGGAGAAGGAGAGGAAAUGCUCUGUGCCACAGAGUACACGUGGGGGUCCGAGCACUACUUACAGGGUUCAGGUCUCAGCUUAGGUUUUUUUGUGGUUUGUGAAUGAGUCAAAUACCAACUAGUCAAAUAUGAGCUUGUGGGUGCCAGGGAUCAAACUCAGGUCAUCAAGUUCCUCAGGCAAAUGCCUUUAUCCACUUAGUGACCCCUCAACUGUUUAAUGUUAUCAGUUGAAUGUGGUAUGAAAAAAAUCCAGCUAUUUGCCCAUUCAUCUAGUUUAUUGCUUAGUAUGGGGAAUUUAUUAUUUAAUUUCUACCUUGACAUUAAUAUAUUUUCAAAAGCAUGUAAUUCAACAAUCAAGAAGGUAUGUACAUGCUGAAUAUUAUUCUUUUCAAAUAUUGUAUGAUGAUACUAGUAGGCUUGGCAAUAGACAUUAUUAUUACUGAUUUAUAUUUUUUUGGCUUGUGAGCAAGUGGAAUAUAUGCACUGUGAUGAUAAAUAGUUAAAUUUGCUAUUCAUAAUCAAAAUGAUCCUUUGAUUUAUCCCUGGCAAUACCACUAAAUAGCUAUCCUUUGAUAUUAGAAGGGGACUUGAGAAUUAUCUGUGCAUGCUUGCCACUUUAUUUUUAUUCUCUCAUUAGGUAUUUUGAAAUACCAUAUUUGACAAGUCCGAGGCUGUCAUAUAUUUGCUUUGUCACACAACACUGUUUGGGAUAGAUCUUGGUUGAAUGAAACAGUUAUUACUGCACAGUAUUACAUGACUACC